GACGAACGCUGGCGGCACGCCUAACACAUGCAAGUCGAACGGAGUGAAGAUGCUUGCAUCUGAACUUAGUGGCGGACGGGUGAGUAACACGUGAGCAACCUGCCUUUCAGAGGGGGAUAACGUUUGGAAACGAACGCUAAUACCGCAUAAAAUAUCGAAGUCGCAUGGCACUGAUAUCAAAGGAGCAAUCCGCUGAAAGAUGGGCUCGCGUCCGAUUAGGCAGUUGGCGGGGUAACGGCCCACCAAACCGACAAUCGGUAGCCGGACUGAGAGGUUGAACGGCCACAUUGGGACUGAGACACGGCCCAG
rnacentral:rRNA from 1 species